rnacentral:rRNA from 1 species
GAUGAACGCUGGCGGCGUGCUUAACACAUGCAAGUCGGACGGAAAGCCCCUUCGGGGGAAUUCGAGUGGCGAACGGGUGAGUAACACGUGGGCAAUCUGCCCCUCACUCUGGGAUAACUCGGGGAAACUCGAGCUAAUACCGGAUACUUCGUCGAGGUCGCAUGGCCAUGACGAGAAAGCUCCGACGGUGAGGGAUGAGCCCGCGGCCCAUUAGCUUGUUGGUGAGGUAACGGCUCACCAAGGCGACGAUGGGUAGCCGAGCUGAGAGGCUGAUCGGCCACACUGGGACUGAGACACGGCCCAGACUCCUACGGGAGGCAGCAGUGGGGAAUCUUGCGCAAUGGGCGAAAGCCUGACGCAGCAACGCCGCGUGUGGGAUGAAGGCUUUCGGGUCGUAAACCACUUUCAGCAGGGAUGAAACUGACAGUACCUGCAGAAGAAGCCCCGGCUAAAUACGUGCCAGCAGCCGCAGUAACAC